rnacentral:rRNA from 1 species
UACGGAGGGGGCUAGCGUUGCUCGGAAUCAUUGGGCGUAAAGCGCACGUAGGCGGUUCGUUAUGUCGGAUGUGAAAGCCCUUGGCUUAACCGAGGAAGUGCAUCCGAAACUGGCGAGCUAGAGUACUAAAGAGGAUCGCGGAAUUCCCGGUGUAGAGGUGAAAUUCGUAGAUAUCGGGAGGAACACCGGUGGCGAAGGCAGGUUACUGGUGCGCAACUGACACUGAGGCACGAAAGCGUGGGGAGCAAACAGG